CCUACGGGGGGCUGCAGUGGGGAAUAUUGGACAAUGGGGGGAACCCUGAUCCAGCCAUGCCGCGUGUGUGAAGAAGGCCCUCGGGGUGUAAAGCACUUUCAGUGAGGAAGAACGCCUGGUGGUUAAUACCCAUCAGGAAAGACAUCACUCACAGAAGAAGCACCGGCUAACUCCGUGCCAGCAGCCGCGGUAAUACGGAGGGUGCGAGCGUUAAUCGGAAUUACUGGGCGUAAAGCGCGCGUAGGUGGCUUGAUAAGCCGGUUGUGAAAGCCCCGGGCUCAACCUGGGAACGGCAUCCGGAACUGUCAAGCUAGAGUGCAGGAGAGGAAGGUAGAAUUCCCGGUGUAGCGGUGAAAUGCGUAGAGAUCGGGAGGAAUACCAGUGGCGAAGGCGGCCUUCUGGACUGACACUGACACUGAGGUGCGAAAGCGUGGGUAGCAAACAGGAUUAGAUACCCUAGUAGUC
rnacentral:rRNA from 1 species